rnacentral:rRNA from 1 species
UACGGAGGAUGCAAGCGUUAUCCGGAAUGAUUGGGCGUAAAGCGUCCGCAGGUGGCUAUGUAAGUCUGCUGUUAAAGAGUGAGGCUCAACCUCAUAAGAGCAGUGGAAACUACAUAGCUAGAGUGCGUUCGGGGCAGAGGGAAUUCCUGGUGUAGCGGUGAAAUGCGUAGAUAUCAAGAGGAACACCUGAGGUGAAGACGGGUUGCUGGGCUGAUACUGACGCUGAGGCGCGAAAGCUAGGGUAGCAAACGGG